GGGAUACUCACUGAGACGGCCUAGAAUCUCAGAACAGUAUGGAUACUGUUUGAAUGAAAACAUGAAGACAUGACUGCUCUUAGAUGUAGUGUGACAAGCCUACCUCCAGUUCCUGCCACCACGCCUUCUCCACCAUGAAGGAAUAUAUGACUGGGAAUUGGAAGCCAAGACAAAUCCCUCCUCCUCCUUCCUAAAUUGAUUUUUUUCACAGAUUUUUUCACAACAAGAAGAAAAGUAAACAGUGAGAUUGUGAGUUUCAGAAUAGCUUAGACUACUUGUCUCAAAAAUGAUUUAAUUAAAGUAAAUUUAGAAAAGAACUACAAGCAAUUUCAUUAAAAU